UAGAAAUGUUAACCUACCUGGAGCUAAAAUGUUUUUAUUUUCAUAAGAGAGCAGAAAUCUAUAUUGUGAGGCUGAAGAAUGUUUGGUUCACUAACUAGUCAUUCAAAUACUAAAAUGAGUGUGGACAGAGGCCUUGCUAUUGAACUGGCUGAUUUAAGCCUGAAGAAGCCAGAUGAAUCUGCUUCACUGGGACAGGGUUACAUGGGGAAUGAGUCCAUGUGUCCUCAGUUAACCCUGAAAGAGAAACACAGGUUGAUUAAUCGUGAGGACUCUGACUCCUCUCUGCCCAGCGGUUUGUCAAUGAAAAGUGAGCAGUCAAUGCGUAAUCCUUUCAACUACAGCAGAGAAGCAAUCCCUACAGAACUGAAAAUGUUUUUUAAUUUUUUUAUUCUGUGGAACACCAAAGAAGACAUUCUGAGGAAUGUUUAAACUGCAAGUCUUUUCAACACAACAAAAGCAGACAGAAACC